rnacentral:misc_RNA from 1 species
AGAACUGACCUAUAACUAUAGAUACAAACUAUUGCCCGGAGAAGGGUCUCCAUGCCUGUGUGGAUCCUCUAAUUGCAGGGGACGUCUUUACUAAAUCCUCUACUUAAUAGAUUGUGCAUUCAGAGGUUUAUGAAUUCAGAUCUGUAGAGAUUCGGAAUCCCGAGGACUGGUGUGUUUGCAGGAAGCAAAAAGUUUGUAAUUGUCCUUAGUUUAUAGUUUGUGUGACCUAGGUUUGUCACACGUCUUCUAGUGAUGUAAUGAACUUUUUA